rnacentral:rRNA from 1 species
AUUGAACGCUGGCGGCGGGCCUAACACAUGCAAGUCGAGCGGAUGGAGGGAGCUUGCUCCUCGCUUAAGUGGGGGACGGGUGAGUAAUGAAUAGGAAGCUGCCCGGCCGAGAGGGAUAACGUAAGGUCACGGACGCUAAUCUAGCAUACGUUCAGAUGGUGAACGUGGGGGUUCAUAGGACAUAAAGCUACUUGAUGACACUAGGAGGGAUUAGCUAGUUGGUGGGGUAAAGGCCUACCAAGGCGACGAUCCGUAACUGGUCUGAGAGGGUGAUCGGUCACACUGGAACUGAGACACGGUCCAGACUCCUACGGGAGGCAGCAGUGGGGAAUAUUGGACAAAGGGCGAAAGCCUGACCCAGCCAUGCCGCGUGUGUGAAGAAGGUCUUCGGAUCGUAAAGCUCUUUUAGUAGGGAAGAACAGCAGUAAAUUUAUACCUGGCUAUUUUGACGUUACCAACAGAAUAAGCACCGGCUAACUUCGUG